UACGGGGGGAGCAAGCGUUGUUCGGAUUUACUGGGCGUAAAGGGCUCGUAGGCGGCCAACUAAGUCAUACGUGGAAUCCCUCGGCUUAACCGGGGAACUGCGUCUGAUACUGGAUGGCUUGAGUUCGGGAGAGGGAUGCGGAAUUCCAGGUGUAGCGGUGAAAUGCGUAGAUAUCUGGAGGAACACCGGUGGCGAGGGCGGCAUCCUGGACCGAUACUGACGCUGAGGAGCGAAAGCCAGGGGAGCAAACGGG
rnacentral:rRNA from 1 species